ensembl:snRNA U6 U6 spliceosomal RNA
GUACUUUGCUAACUUUCAUAAGACAUAUACUAAAAUUGAGACAAUACAGAGAAGAUUAGCAUAGCCUCUGCUCAAGGAUGACACACAAACUAAUGAAGUACUUUAUAUUUUU